rnacentral:rRNA from 2 species
GGACUACAAGGGUAUCUAAUCCUGUUUGCUCCCCACGCUUUCGUGCCUGAGCGUCAGUAUUGGCCCAGGGGGCUGCCUUCGCCAUCGGUGUUCCUCCGCAUCUCUACGCAUUUCACUGCUACACGCGGAAUUCCACCCCCCUCUGCCAUACUCGAGCCUGCCAGUUUCCAAUGCCAUUCCCAGGUUGAGCCCGGGGCUUUCACAUCAGACAUAACAGACCGCCUGCGCACGCUUUACGCCCAGUAAUUCCGAUUAACGCUCGCACCCUACGUAUUACCGCGGCGGCUGGCAC